UAAGAGGCCACCUAUACACUUCAGACUUCACCUCUCGACUUGAGUUGCUCAAAAGGAAAAAAAAAACCUGUCGAUUCGAACCCGCGGCUCCACAGGGAGAGGGGGGAACUCUCUCGAUCUAGGGAUUCCUCCCCCUUGCUCACCCACCCCAAAACCCUAGAGGCGGGCGGAGCUCUCCCAUGGCCGACGACCACUACAACUCCUCCGCGGCGGCGGCCGCGGCGGUGGGGUGCUCGGUGAUCCCGAUCGACAACAAGCUGCAGGGCAUCUUCUCGCAGCUGGGGAGCAGCUCGACGAUCGACCUGCCGCAUGUCGCCGUCGUGGGCAGCCAGAGCAAUGGCAAGUCCAGCAUCCUCAAGGCGCUCCUCGGCCGCGACUUUCUCCCGCGCGGCUCCGACAUGUGCACGCGCCGACCGCUCGUGCUCCAGCUCGUGCACCAGGCGCGCCGCCCCGCUGACGCAGAGGCCGACGAGUGGGGCGAGUUCCUGCACCACCCUGGCCGCCGCUACUACGACUUCCGCGAAAUCCGACGCGAGAUCCAGGCAGAAACGGGCAGGGAGGCUGGCGGUAACAAGGGUGUGUCAGAUAGGCAGAUACGUUUGAAGAUCCAUUCACCAAAUGUUCUCAACAUCACUUUGGUCGAUCUGCCUGGAGUUACUAAGGUGCCAGCUGUGGCACCAACUGACAUUGAGGCCAGAAUAAGGACUAUGAUAUUUUCAUAUAUGAAGCACAAAGCAUGCAUCAUAUUGGCUGUUUUGCCAGCAAAUGCAGAUUUAGCGAACUCUGGUGCUCUUCAAAUAGCUCGGACAGCUGAUCCUGAUGGUUCUCGAACAAUUGGUGUUACCACAAAGUUGGACAUAAUGGACAGAGGCACUGAUGCCUGUAAUUUUUUGCUGGAAACUGUGAUCCCAUUACGACUUCGUUAUGUUGGCAUCGUAAACCGCAGCCAGCAGGAUAUCAACACUGAUAUUAGUGCCAAGGAGGUUCUGGCGCGAGAAGAAAAUUUCUUCCGUACUCAGUCGGCAUACAGUGGUCUCACUAAGUACUGUGGGAUACCACGGUUAGCAAAGAAGCUAAACCAGAUCUUGGUCCAACAUAUCAGAACUAUUCUGCCUGGACUGAAGUCACACAUAAGUUCUCAAUUGGCAGCUAUUACCAAGGAGCAUGCCUUUUAUGGUGACCCAAUUGAAGCCAAGGCUGGGCAAGCUGCUAAGUUUUUGAACAUUCUAGCUAAAUUUUGUGAUGCUUUUUCCUCUAUGGUUGAAGGGAAAAAUGAAGAUAUAUCAACAAUCGAGCUUUCUGGUGGAGCACACAUUCACUAUAUUUUUCAAUCUAUCUUCGUCAAAAGCUUAGAGGGUGUUGACCCUUGUGAGGAUGUCACUGAUGAAGACACCCGCAUGGCUAUAAAAAAUGCAACUGGUCCUAGGAGUGCUUUGUUUGUUCCUGAGGUGCCGUUUGAAGUCCUUGUACACAGGCAAAUCAGAUUGCUUGAUCCAAGUCUUCAGUGUGCGGAUUUCAUAUGUGAGGGACUGGUUAAGAUGAUCCAACUUUGCCUUUGCAACGAGCUGCAGCAGUUUCCUACACUCAGAAGGAGCAUGGAUGAAGUAAUUGUGAAGUUUAUACUGGAUGGGCUUAAGCCAGCACAAGAUAUGAUAGCACACAUUAUUGAGAUGGAGGCUGAUUACAUAAACACAUCUCAUCCAAGUUUCAUCGGUGGCAGCAAGGCUAUAGUGCAAGCACAUCUGCAAGUUAGAACCGCCAGAUUGCCUGCAAUGGUGGUUAGGAGGGAUGGAGAUGCCGAUGGGCCACAGGAUUCUGAAAGAACCCGAAAAUCACACGCAUUAUUGGGUAGAACUACUGGUGUAAAUGGAAUUAUCACCGAACAGAUCCAGCAGGGGGUACGCCCUGCUGCUGGCGCAGAGAGACCAGGAUCUUCAGGUAGUGGAAGCACUUCUUUUUGGGGCUCAAUAUUCACCUCAAGCGAGGACCGUAAGCAUUCUUCAGCUAGAGAUAGCUCAGUGAACAAAUCUUAUGCUUCAGCUACUCCCUACCUGGAACAUUCUUUCUCUUCAAUACAGUUAAAAGAGCUGCCGCUAGUCCCUUCAGAAAGCCACUCUGAGCAGGAAGACCUUGAAAUAACAUUCACAAAAUUGCUGCUGCAGUCAUACUACAAUAUAGUCAAGAAAAACGUCGAGGAUUUCAUACCAAAAGCGAUUAUACGUUUUCUGAUGCAGAUCUUUGUCAAGACCCUCACUGGCAAGACCAUCACCCUUGAGGUGGAGUCUUCUGAUACCAUUGAUAACGUCAAGGCCAAGAUCCAGGAUAAGGAGGGCAUCCCUCCAGAUCAGCAGCGCCUCAUGUUGGCUGGCAAGCAGCUGCAGGAUGGCAGGACCUUAGCUGACUACAACAUUCAGAAAGAAGCCACUAUUCACCUUGCCCUCCGUCUGAGGGGAGGCGUGUCUGCGACGGGUCUGCCUGACACAUGCUUGCUCGAGAUCUGCCGCCGGAUCUGGUGCGAGAUUGAUCAGAUCUUUAUGUCGAAGGCUUGUCGAGACUGGCACAGUGCCCUAGACAACUCCCUACGGCUGAACGCCCAACAGCAUCCACCCCUUAUACAGGCUCAGUUGCCUUGGCUUCUCCGUGUGCGCGGGGAUCCUUCAGUGGUGGGGGAUCCUACAUCUGUGGAGGAUCCCUCAAGGAUGGAACUGACUUGCUUUCCGAACGGCAGAGAGCCUUGCAACUGUGACAUUAAUUGCCUUUGCCGCCACCCCGCUGAUGGUAUCUACCAUGUGCACCGCACCCGCCUCCCGGAGAACAUUACUGAAGCUCGAUUCUAUGGAUCGUUCGAAGGGAGACACCUGUUCCUCGCACUUGAAGGAACCAGUGGUCAUAGACUUCGAUCUUUGAGGACUGGUCUAGAUAUCUUGCUUCCAGAAGCUGUUCACAUCAAUGGGGCUGCUAUCCCUUGUAUAAUGCUUGCAGCAACAGUGUCUGGUCCUCCGGAUGGCCUCAAUUGUGUUGGCGGAGCCAUUGUGCACUAUUAUUCAGAUGGGAGAGCAUAUAGGCGUGCCGCCUUUUGGCGUUUGGGCAGGACACAACCUAUGCUCACAAGAAGCCCAUUCCCGUUUCUGAAUGAGGAUUAUGAAGAUAUAAUGUGGCAUAAUGGUGCCUUCCACUUGCUGUUAAGUUCUGAGUGUGUCAAUGUUUUUGUCCUUCAGUUGACUGAGCAUGGAGAUGGCAUAAGCUUUGAGAAUGGCUUAAUGAUGGUGGAUGCAAGGCAUUUCAACAAUGAGGUGAUUAUUGGAAGGUAUAUCCUUGUCUCAAGGGGUGAGUUGCUGCUGGUGUUGAGAAUUUCUGGUGAUAGCGAUUCGUUCCGGGUAUUCCAGUUGAAAGAACUUGACACACCUCGAGGUUUGACCACGCAUGAGUGGACAGAACUAGAGGACCUUGAUGAGAGGGUUCUGUUUGUCGGCAAAGGCUCUGGCAGGUCCUAUGAGAAGUCCGAGUUCCCUGGUUUUGGUGAGGGCGGAUUUCUAUUCUUUCUGGAUGAUGAAUAUCUCAAUGAUGUGCCGAGGAGUGUUGUCAUGAAUGGACCAUACCGGGGCCUCAUUACUGGUUGCUGGAGAAUAAGAAAGUCAACUCGCAGGGAUAUUGAAAUUGUAGACGGUCACUGGAAAGUGAAAGUGUUAUUCGACAAGUGCAUUGAAUAUGUGUUCUUAGACCAGUAUUAUGCCAGACACUCUCCUCCAGUAUGGUGCUUGCCAUAAGACUCUUCCCAGCAUUGGGGAACGAAGGUCCACGCAAGUCGCUGCUAGGUUCUUCUGUCCUGCUAUGAUAUACUCGAAAGAG
rnacentral:rRNA from 1 species